rnacentral:misc_RNA from 1 species
UCACUGCAUAAGUGACUUGUGUAUCAUUCCAGCUAUACGAACUGUCGGUGUCGUCGAGGCUAUGAGCCGCUCAAGAAAAAAAAACCAUGGACAACGAUCGAACUGCUUCCUUGGCAAUUCUGAACGGAAUCCCGGAAGAGCCAUCGUUACCACCUGCUUCAUCAACGGUAUCUAACUUUAAGGUGUUUCAGAUACCCAUGACCUUACUGGUGUGCUGACCAUAAGGUAGCUGCCACGUAGCUCCUGCAUGGGCCCCACUCGUCCAAGAUCCGGUGUUCCAGUCCUCUCUCCCGUUCUUCAAACCUUGUUCAAGCAAGGUUCUCAACGUACGCAUCUGGUGCAACCCGAAACUGCCUGCAGAAUUCGCACCACUAACGUUGACGUCCGUCCACCCACGUCGCACUUGCUUACUGGCGCAGACAUUCUUCCUGGAUAACAUCCUCUUCGUGUUGCCUCCUCUUUGCAAUGUGGCCGAGUCACCUGAACCGGGAACUACGAACCAGGAACCACGGACAACAUUUAUCGUCGGCGAUUCGUCAAGGACCACCGAAAGAGCCAUUGCUGUGGAGCGGCGUAAAACUGGCAGCUUCUGAACCUUCGAUCGCGCCUGGUGCACUCGCUGUACGAUGGUGGAUGGCCUUCCACGUCCAGCACAUGCCUUUGAGAUCGGUGCUACUUCAGAUGUCCCUGCAGCCGUAGUGCACCUCCACACUUAAAUACCCGGCUUCACGUUCCCUUAUCACCUGCUUGCGUGG